rnacentral:rRNA from 1 species
CUGGCGGCAUGCUUAACACAUGCAAGUCGAACGAGAAAGCUUCUUCGGAAGUGAUUAAAGUGGCGCACGGGUGAGUAACGCGUAGACAAUCUGCCCUUCAGUCUGGGACAACUUUCCGAAAGGGGAGCUAAUACCGGAUAACAAUAUUUGACAUAAGUCAUAUAUUUGAAAGCUCCGGCGCUGAUGGAUGAGUCUGCGUCCCAUUAGCUUGUUGGUGCGGUAGUGGCGCACCAAGGCUACGAUGGGUAGCGGGUUUGAGAGGACGAUCCGCCACACUGGAACUGAGACACGGUCCAGACUCCUACGGGAGGCAGCAGUGGGGAAUAUUGCACAAUGGAGGAAACUCUGAUGCAGCAAUGCCGCGUGAGUGAAGAAGGCCCUUGGGUCGUAAAGCUCUUUUAUGGGGGAAGAUGAUGACGGUACCCCAAGAAUAAGCACCGGCUAACUACGUGCCAGCAGCCGCGGUAAUACGUAGGGUGCGAGCGUUGUUCGGAAUUACUGGGCGUAAAGGGCGCGCAGGCGGAGGUGUAAGUCGGAGGUGAAAGCCCGGGGCUCAACCCCGGAGGGUCUUUCGAAACUACAUCUCUAGAGAGGGUCAGGGGCCGGCAGAAUUCCUGGUGUAGAGGUGAAAUUCGUAGAUAUCAGGAGGAAUACCGGUGGCGAAAGCGGCCGGCUGGGGCCACUCUGACGCUGAGGCGCGAAAGCGUGGGGAGCAAACAGGAUUAGAUACCCUGGUAGUCCACGCCGUAAACGAUGAGCACUGGACGUUCGGAGGGUUCGACCCUUCUGGGUGUUUCAGCUAACGCAUUAAGUGCUCCGCCUGGGG